rnacentral:rRNA from 1 species
UACGUAGGGUGCGAGCGUUGUCCGGAAUUAUUGGGCGUAAAGAGCUUGUAGGCGGUUUGUCGCGUCUGCCGUGAAAGCCCAGGGCUUAACCCUGGGUCUGCGGUGGGUACGGGGCAGACUAGAGUGUGGUAGGGGGAGACUGGAAUUCCUGGUGUAGCGGUGAAAUGCGCAGAUAUCAGGAGGAACACCGAUGGCGAAGGCAGGUCUCUGGGCCACUACUGACGCUGAGAAGCGAAAGCAUGGGGGAGCAAACAGG